UACGUAGGGGGCAAGCGUUGUCCGGAAUCAUUGGGCGUAAAGAGCGUGUAGGCGGCCAGAUAAGUCCGCUGUGAAAUCUCGAGGCUCAACUUCGAGCUGUCGGUGGAAACUGUCUGGCUAGAGUCCGGAAGAGGAGAAUGGAAUUCCUGGUGUAGCGGUGAAAUGCGCAGAUAUCAGGAGGAACACCAAUGGCGAAGGCAGCACUCUGGGACGUGACUGACGCUGAGACGCGAAAGCGUGGGGAGCAAACAGG
rnacentral:rRNA from 1 species